AUACCACAAAAGGAAGGUUGGGAUUGAUUUUGGGGAUGAUGGUCCCAACCGAUUAGGAAUUAAGGGCCCAAAAGGGGCCCAAAACAAGCAUUUUUCUAGUUUCAGGAUAAUAACUUGUGUAGAAGUAUUUCAAUUGCUCUAAAAUCAUACCGCAAUGUUUAAAACCACAAGUAGAAGGUUUGGAUUCAUUUUAGGGGAUUAUGGAGCCAAAGUUUAGGAAUUAAGGGCCAAAAAGGCGUCAAAACAAGCUUUUUUCUAGUUUCAAGACAAUAACUUAUGUGUAAUUGUAUGGAUCUCUCUGAAAUUGUACCACAAUGUACCAUAUAACAAAGGGGAGGCUGGGAUUAAGUUUUGGGUUAAUUGCCCAAAAUAUGUAGGAAUUAGGGGCCAAAAAAGGGCCAAAAAGAAGCAUGAUUCUAGUUUCCAAACAAUUAUGACAAUAACUUGUGUUUAAGUGCAUGGAUCUCUCUGAAAUUGUACUACAAGGUUCAAUACUGCAAUGGAAAGCAUGGGAUUGAGUUUAAGGGUUAUUGCUCCAAGGGGGGUUAAAAAAAGUUGGGGGAUUUUUUGUUUACCAUUUUUUGAAGGGCUUCCUUUUUUUUCAAAGAAGUUUCAAGAAGAAAUCUUCAAUUGCACAGUAUUGUGCAAUAGAUUUGUUAGAUCUUUCACCACAUUAAUUUUGUGACAAAAACCUAUAUUAUGUCAAAAAUUUGAUCACAAUCCAAAUUCAGACAGAAUCAAGCUUGAAUAUUGUGACCAAAUUUGCCCCAACUAUUCAGGGUUCAACCACUGGGGUC
rnacentral:lncRNA from 1 species